rnacentral:rRNA from 1 species
GAUGAACGCUGGCGGCGUGCCUAAUACAUGCAAGUAGAACGCUGAAGGCGGAGCUUGCUCGUCUGGAUGAGUUGCGAACGGGUGAGUAACGCGUAGGUAACCUGCCUGGUAGCGGGGGAUAACUAUUGGAAACGAUAGCUAAUACCGCAUGACAACAGUUAUUGCAUGAUAACGGUUUAAAAGGUGCAACUGCUCCACUACCAGAUGGACCUGCGUUGUAUUAGCUAGUUGGUGAGGUAACGGCUGACCAAGGCGACGAUACGUCGCCGAACUGAGAGGGGGGUUGGCCGCACUGGGAGGGAGACACGCCCCAGAGGCAUAGGGGAGGCAGCAGUAGGGAAACGUGGGCAAGCGGCGGAAGUCUGGGCGCGAUAGGCGGAGGGAGGGAGGAACAUCUUCGGAUCGGAAAGGACUGUCGUCGGAGAAGAAACAGUGUGCGAGUGGAAAGUACAGACUGUGACGGUAUCUUAUCAGAAAGCAACGGCUAACUACGUG